rnacentral:rRNA from 1 species
CCAGACUCCUACGGGAGGCAGCAGUGGGGAAUAUUGCACAAUGGGGGAAACCCUGAUGCAGCAACGCCGCGUGAGUGAAGAAGUAUUUCGGUAUGUAAAGCUCUAUCAGCAGGGAAGAAGAAAGACGGUACCUGACUAAGAAGCUCCGGCUAAAUACGUGCCAGCAGCCGCGGUAAUACGUAUGGUGCAAGCGUUAUCCGGAUUUACUGGGUGUAAAGGGAGCGCAGACGGCAGCGCAAGCCAGGAGUGAAAGCCCGGGGCCCAACCCCGGGACUGCUCUUGGAACUGCGCGGCUGGAGUGCAGGAGGGGCAGGCGGAAUUCCUGGUGUAGCGGUGAAAUGCGUAGAUAUUAGGAGGAACACCAGUGGCGAAGGCGGUCUGCUGGACAGCAACUGACGCUGAGGCGCGAAAGCGUGGGGAGCAAACAGGAUUAGAUACCCGGGUA